rnacentral:lncRNA from 1 species
GAAUCAUUCCACCAAAAAGAUGCAUGCAGAAAAACAGAUUUCCAUGAGGAAAGUUUAUGAAAUUCAACUGUGAAACAAUUAAAAUAUCUGAAAUCAAAGAUAAAAACACUUGGUUGAAGUCUCACUGUCCUUUUUGUUUUGUAGGAAAACUCUGCUAUAAUGAGAGAUUCCAUUUUAAGCCUUCUAGUAUUUAUGACUGUUGUCUUCUUGUGAGUCAGGAAUAUUGUGAUGAGUGAUUAAUCUGGUUAUGUGGAGAUAUAUUCUAUUCUUUUAGCAUAGCUAUAGAGUCUUUACAUAAUAAAUACAUAUUUUGUCAUCUAAUUAAAUAAAAUAAUUCACACUCCACUGUGCCAUAAAAGCAUGACAAUCAAAGUUCAUUUUUCUCUUAUU